rnacentral:rRNA from 1 species
GAUGAACGCUAGCGGCAGGCUUAAUACAUGCAAGUCGAGGGGCAGCAGGGUGUAGCAAUACAUCGCUGGCGACCGGCAAACGGGUGCGGAACACGUACGCAACCUUCCUUCAAGUGGGGAAUAGCCCGGGGAAACCCGGAUUAAUACCCCGUAAUAUUAUGAGGCGGCAUCACCUUAUAAUUAUAGUUCCGACGCUUGAAGAUGGGCGUGCGCCUGAUUAGGUAGUUGGCGGGGUAACGGCCCACCAAGCCUACGAUCAGUAACUGGUGUGAGAGCACGACCAGUCACACGGGCACUGAGACACGGGCCCGACUCCUACGGGAGGCAGCAGUAAGGAAUAUUGGUCAAUGGACGCAAGUCUGGACCAGCCAUGCCGCGUGGAGGAUGAAGGUCCUCUGGAUUGUAAACUUCUUUUAUUUGGGAAGAAACCCAUAUUUUCUAAUGUGGUUGACGGUACCAAGUGAAUAAGCACCGGCUAACUCCGUGCCAGCCGCCGCAGUAAAAC